CUCGUAGGCGGUUCGUCGCGUCCGGUGUGAAAGUCCAUCGCUUAACGGUGGAUCCGCGCCGGGUACGGGCGGGCUUGAGUGCGGUAGGGGAGACUGGAAUUCCCGGUGUAACGGUGGAAUGUGUAGAUAUCGGGAAGAACACCAAUGGCGAAGGCGACUGUCUGGUCUGUAACUGACGCUGAGGCUCGAAAGCAUGGGUAGCGAACA
rnacentral:rRNA from 1 species